GUGUGUGUGUGUGUUUCUGGUGCCUGCUGAGAACAAUAUCCUGAUGCUGAAUGAGUGUGUUGAAGGAAACUCCAGCAUCAGUGAUUUUGUUGCCAGAGGAGCACUUUGGGCAUCCUGUGUAUAU
rnacentral:pre_miRNA from 1 species